rnacentral:rRNA from 1 species
CAAAGGUAGCAUAAUCAUUAGUUUUUUAAUUGAAAGCUGGAAUGAAAGGUUGGACGAGAAAAUGACUGUCUCAAUUUAAUUUUAAUUAGAAUUUUAUUUUUAAGUAAAAAAGCUUAAAUAAUUUUAAAAGACGAGAAGACCCUAUAGAAUUUUAUAUAUUUUAAAAUAAAUGUUUUUAAGUUAAUUUUUAUUUUUAUUUAAAAAUGUAUUUUGUUGGGGUGAUAGGGAAAUUUAAUGAACUUUCUUUUUUUUAUAUCAUUAAUUUAUGAUUAAAUGAUCCAUGUUUUAUGAUUAUAAGAUUAAAUUACCUUAGGGAUAACAGCGUAAUUUUU